rnacentral:rRNA from 1 species
AUGAUUGAGUGCAAGUUACCCAGAAAGCUAACUAUAUGGCUGAUGAAAAGAGUAGACUGCGACAGCAAGUGUCUAGUAUUCAGAAACAGGAAGGUUUCUAUAGUACAAGCUGUUGAAAACCUGUUGAAGUUACCUGCUCUUGACAAAGCAGUUCCAAUGCCCCGUCCAGGUAGGGUUCGUGACAAACCUUUCAGAGGUAAAACUGAAUUCAAGUCUGCUACGGCCGGAAGAGGAGAAUCACUCAAGGAAGCGACAGACAGGAUGUUAACGUACAAAGAGGAGAAAGACAAGGACAAGUUUUGCUUGUGUUUCAUGCAAGUCAUUCUUUGCGCCUACUUAGCUCCGACGACUGGUUACCAAAUUAAUAGAAGUUACCUGCUAGGAGCUUUGAAGGACUUGAGCGACAUCCCUCGUAUGAAUUGGUGUCGUUUUGCUGCUGAGUACCUUAUCGAGGCAAUCCGUGAAUCAAGGGAAAACAAAGUGCCCAACCUGAAUGUCGGUGGAUGCGUACAUAUUCUACAUCUCAUAUAUGUGGAUCUAUUUCAAUCACAUUUAGUCAAAAUACCUCAGGGUUACCCAAGGAUUAAAUAUGUGGGUUCAGCAGUACUGGAACAAAUAGAUCAUACUGGAAAAAAGAAGACACAAGACCAUUGCAAGUUGUUUGAGAGCUUACUGGAUGAUGAAAAGUUAGCAAUGUUCCCUACUGCAGAAGACCAUAAUGAUGAUCUUGAUGAUCACGAAAAAUCUACACAUUCCACCCCACCAGUAACAGCUAAUAUAAGUACUGUACCUUGUCAGGAGAAACAUAAACUUCCUCCACAAGUAGUACAAGUUUCUAAAAAGCGCCCGUCACAUCAAGCUACAGAUGAGGUGAUUUCUUAA